rnacentral:rRNA from 1 species
AAGUAGAUAGUCUAACCCUCGGGAGGACGUUUACCACGGAGUGAUUCAUGACUGGGGUGAAGUCGUAACAAGGUAGCCCUAGGGGAACCUGGGGCUGGAUCACCUCCUUAUACGA